rnacentral:rRNA from 1 species
AGACGGAGGGGGCAAGCGUUGUUCGGAAUUACUGGGCGUAAAGCGCGCGUAGGCGGUUUGUCAAGUUGGAGGUGAAAUCCCGGGGCUCAACCCCGGAACUGCCUUCAAAACUGGCCGACUGGAGUCCGGGAGAGGAGAGUGGAAUUCCCAGUGUAGAGGUGAAAUUCGUAGAUAUUCGGAAGAACACCAGUGGCGAAGGCGGCUCACUGGCCCGUUACCGACGCUCAGGCGCGACAGCGUGGGGAGCAAACAGGAUUAGAAACCCCGGUAGUCC